rnacentral:rRNA from 1 species
UACGUAGGGCGCAAGCGUUGUCCGGAAUUAUUGGGCGUAAAGAGCUCGUAGGCGGCUUGUCACGUCGGAUGUGAAAGCCCGGGGCUUAACCCCGGGUCUGCAUUCGAUACGGGCUAGCUAGAGUGUGGUAGGGGAGAUCGGAAUUCCUGGUGUAGCGGUGAAAUGCGCAGAUAUCAGGAGGAACACCGGUGGCGAAGGCGGCGACCUGGUCCGAUACUGACGCUGAGGCGCGAAAGCGUGGGGAGCAAACAGG